rfam:HIV-1 isolate 1182.48-3170-20030409 pol protein (pol) gene, partial cds.
AAAUGUACAGUAGUAAUAGGACCUACACCUGUCAACGUAGUUGGAAGAAAUCUGAUGACUCAAAUUGGUUGYACCUUAAAUUUUCCCAUUUGUCCUAUUAAAACUGUACCAGU